rnacentral:sRNA from 1 species
AAACUCAAACUCAAACUCAAACUUACAUCUUUUUUGUUUGUCCACGUCUUUGGAUCUCUUUUCGUUUCACAACGAAAAAAAGGUCUGCCCGGAUUAUCAACACUCUUCGAUGUGAAGAUUGUCACAUCAUCUCCACACCAACACUUCACCGGAAAACCACGGUUUUGGACAACACCCGAUGACGCUGAACUUGAACUCAUUGCGUAGGAAGAUCCAAUUUUCGAAAUCGAUUUCAAUUCUGUCGUAGAAGAAGAGAACUGAGAAAUUUUGUUUUUUUAGGGCUUGUGAUUUCUUCGAUUUCUGAUCGAAUUGGGGGAAAACAUAGCAAGUCGUUUUGAUAAAACGACGUCGUUUACUAAAAACGAAACUGUGUCGUUUGCAAAUUAUGUCUCUGUUAACGUCUAAUUAACCCUGUCAAUUAAGUCUGUUAACCCAGAUAACGGCAAGACUAAAAUGGCGCGGUCAACACAAGUUUAAGAUUUAUUAGAAAAGUCAACAAAAGUUUGAUAUUUUUUUCGUUUCAAAUAAAGUUCGGGAUUUAAAUCAACGUUUUAACAAAGUUCGGGAUUUUAAUGACAUUUUUCCCAAUUAACAAAUGCAUUAGGAACUUUUUUGGAUGUCUUAUGACUCUUGGGGCUUAGUCAAAGAUUGGCCCAACUCUCCUAAGGCCUUUUACUUAAAAGUCUAGCCCAUCAAAUUAGUUUU